UGUCGCGCGGGAGCGAAAAGGACGGGAAAUUUAGAAAAGAAAAGUAAAUAAGAAUAGAAAAUAAAAGUAUAAUUUCAGAAGUCUGCGAAGGUGAAAUAUAACAGUUAAUGUGUCAUUAAAUGUCCAGGUAUGUAACAUAGCUUUCAACUUUUGUUGGAAAUAAACACCAUGAAUUACGACUACAGCUUGUCGAUUUAUUAGCGACAGGCAGUCAGGACAUAGUGACAUACAGCUGUACAGACGUACUACGACACAAUCUGACAGCUGCAUAAUUUUAUUGUUUGAAGAUUACAUCGUCUGUUACACUCUGUUUGGUAUUCAGCUCACUUUAUUCCAAUUCGCAGUAGUGGUAUCAUUGGGAUAGUUUUGUAUUUUAGAAUCACAACAGACUGUAAAACACUGCUGUCUGUCACUGCAUGCAUGCACACGCCCAUAUUUCAUGGAUUCAAUGGAAUCGUCAUGCAUGUUCCACCAUAGAGUAGCAUACAGUGAUGCUUCAGUUUUAUCCACCAACGCAUUCUUUAAUCCAAGCUGCUGUCAUCUAUUUUUUUUCUGC